CAGGUUGACCGGGGGAUCGCGGCGUUACGACGCUGAGGAAAGUCCGCACUCCGUAGAGCACGGUGCUGGCUAACGGCCAGGCGGGGAAACCCGACGGAAAGUGCAACAGAGAGCAAACCGCCGAUGACCCUUCGGGGAACAGGUAAGGGUGAAACGGUGGGGUAAGAGCCCACCGCCCGGGUGGUGACAUCCGGGGCAUGGCAAACCCUGCCUGGAGCAAGACCAAAUAGGCGCGCAUCUAAGGGCUGCUCGCCCGUGCGUGCGGGUAGGAUCGCUCGAGCUUGCUGGUAACGGCCGGCCUAGACGAAUGGUU
rnacentral:RNase_P_RNA from 1 species